AACUCUCCUAAAAUGCCAUUCUCAGCAUGCAAAUAUGAACAUUAUCAGCACUAAUUUGCAUGUUCAACAUUGCAUUCUGGGAGAGUUGUAGAAUCAAUCUCUAGAGACAUGUACAAUACAUGAUUUUAAAUGGUUUAUUAUAAAAUCCCUUCCACACCAUAAUAUGUCAUUGAAUUAUCUAUUAAGGAAAAGCCCCUAUUACUUCUGGGGCUUAAUUUCCACUGCGUGUCAUUUACUUUAUCAAGUUUCUCUGUUUAGUGCGCACUGGUGGAUAUUUCAAGUACUGCAGUUAGGUAGAAAUAGUGUGCAGGUCAACAUACUGCAGUUCUUACUGUCAAAUAUCACGGAUAGCAAUCCCUUGCGAAAGCAAUGACUUCUGUUUUGAAAUUGGAGGUUUUACACAAUUGUUUGCAUGACUAUAAUUGUUCAAAGAGAUAAUAGCAUGGGAUUUUAGCACCAGAAGAUGAGAGCCUCAUCCUAGAUCUGGAUAGUGUUAAAAAAACUGGCAAAGGCAAGGUCCGACAGUGCAAAAGGUCAACAUUGGCAGCAUAAAACAACAGCGCAGACUGAUAGGUCAAUACCAGCAGAUUAGAAGCAUCAACAAAUUGUUGGAUAAUACCAAAAGCAAUUCAACUGUUGUUUGAGUGGAG